rnacentral:misc_RNA from 1 species
CAAGAAUCAAAUGGUAUUUGGUAAAAUUUACACUUACUAAUGCAUUCAAAUAUUAAAGAAAAAAUCCAAACAUAAACUAUAUUAAAAAGUUUAAAACUGUGCCCCAAAUGUGCUUAUGUAUUAUGGUUCCUGUUGCUCAAGAGUCAAUACAAAAUGGACAGAAUCUUACACCAAUUGAAGCCAUGUUGCCUAAACCAUUAUCAAAUGGCUCAAAGCAUCCAGAAACUAAUUUGACUUGUGGCAGCUAAUCAGUG